UACGAAGGGGACUAGCGUUGUUCGGAAUCACUGGGCGUAAAGCGCACGUAGGCGGAUUUGUAAGUCAGGGGUGAAAUCCCGGGGCUCAACCUCGGAACUGCCUUUGAUACUGCGAAUCUUGAGUCCGAUAGAGGUGGGUGGAAUUCCUAGUGUAGAGGUGAAAUUCGUAGAUAUUAGGAAGAACACCGGUGGCGAAGGCGGGUCUCUGGGCAAUUCCUGACGCUGAGGCGCGAAAGCGUGGGGAGCAAACGGG
rnacentral:rRNA from 1 species